rnacentral:lncRNA from 1 species
AGUAAAGAAUUCAAUAGGUACAUGAUUUAAUUGAGGUGUUUAUGCGGAAAAAGUCGAAUAGUUAAGGGACCUGUAUAUGUAUUUAGCCGUUUGCAAAAUACACAUCCGAGGCAUCACAUGUACAUAACAAUAUGAAACAAAACUUGAAAACCUAAAAAUAACACAUCAUAUACAUGCCUAACGUUUUUAAAUAUAUACAACACACUGUUAUGUAUAUGGACUGAAAUACACACUGCUCGUCUACUUGUCUAACAAAGUCAUAUAUAUAACUAUGUUAUGUAUAACAUUAUUGAUGCAUAACAUAUACAUAACUCUAUAAUAUAUAUGGCCUAAAGUUAAACAGCCUAACAAUGUCUGUUUUAAUACAUAUACAUAACAGAUUGAUAUAUAUGAGUUGAAAUAAAUCGUCCGAACAUGUCAUAACUACAAAUAUAUAGAUAACUAGCUAUAUAUCAUAGUUCAAAAUAACAACAUGAAUUUACUAAGUAAUCUGACCAUAUACAUAAUAAAUUUAAUGUGUAAGAAGACAUCUCUAACACUAUACAUAACUAAUUUAUGUAUAAGAUUGAAAUAACAACAAAACGCUCUUAUAUACUUUUGACAGACGUGUUCGUGAUGAUUCUUCAUUUGUUAUAUUACUUGAAGAUUUAGCAACGGGCUUCUUAGAGUUUGUACGAGCAACUUUCCCCAACUUCUUCAUCUUAAUAGGAUCAUUUCGGUGUUUCGAUCUAUUUUUUCUGAACUCGAACCAGACUCCAUUACUAUGCUUAAGUUCUAAGAAUUAAGCACAUGCAACAAGUAACUCAUAGAUUUUUGAUUUAGUAAAGUUGAAAAAAUUAAGAAAUUAAAUUAACAUCAAAAAAUAAAUUGAAGAAGCUGAUGAUGUUCAACAAUUUCAUGAGAUAAGGUUUUUAAAUUCAAACCUUGAAACUUCUUAUGGAAGGUGCAAUAUGCAUAUGGAGGUUGAAAGAGAAAGUGUAAAAAAUGAGAUAUUUAUAAUUAGUUUUGAUAGAUGAGAUUUUACGUAACAAUAAAAAGUUAGGAUGCAUAUAUGAAAAAAAAAAAAAAAAGUUGAAAUGGUCCAAUGCCCGCUAAGAUCCGUUUGUUGUGGCAUUAGCGGGCAUUUGGCUGAUUUCUACAGGUCGACUAAAGUAUCAAACCUGGAACCAAGACAAAAGUAUAUCAGUCAAACUUUCGUUAAUAGUUUAGACCUUAAUAUACUUUUGUAGAAAUUUGACUAAAAUAUCAACCUGGAACGAAAGCUUGGCUGAUUCUUUUCCUUCCAGGUUGAUACUAAAAUCAAACGUUCUACAAAAGUAUAUUAAGGUCUAAACUGUUGACAAUCAAAUUUUUAGAAGCUGGAACAGUUUAGCUACAUUCAAUUACAAUGCAACAACAACAACAAACCCAGUGUAUUCCCACUUAGUGGGGUCUGGGGGGGGUAAGAUGUCCGCAGUCCAUACCUCUACCUCUGAUGAAGUAGAAAGGCUGUUUCCGAAAGACCCCCGGCUCAAGUUACGAGAUAUCAAACAAACACAUAGUACAGCACAGAAGCAGAUGACAUAACAUAGAUACUGCAGCCAUAAGGAAUAUAAAACAGAGUAAAGCAGGGAUGCAGGAAUAUAAAGCAGAGGAAAGCACACAGAUUCGUAACAAACAUAGAACACGGAACACGGAACAGAACAUUGAAUACGGAAUCAUACCAGGAAUACACCCCCACCAAUUACCUCCCUACAUUAGCGACCCGAACAGGCCCUAAUCCUCUGCCGUAAUUCGCGUCUUCCAGACCUUCCUAUCUAGGGUCAUGUCCUCGGUGAGCUGUAACUGUUCCAUGUCCCGCCUAAUCACCUCACCCCAGUACUUCUUCGGUCUACCCCUACCCCGUCUAAAACCAUCCAACGCUAGCCUCUCACACCUACGGACCGGGGCAUCCAUGCCCCUCCUCUUCACGUGUCCGAACCAUCUCAAUCGUGCUUCCCGCAUCUUACACUCCACUGAAGUCACACCAACCUUCUCCCGGAUAGUCUCAUUCCGAACUCUAUCCCCUCGGGUCAGUCCACACCUCCAGCGCAACAUCCGCAUUUCUGCCACCUUCAUUCUUUGGAUGUGGGAGUUCUUAACUGGCCAACACUCCGCUCCAUACAGCAAGGCCGGACGGACUACCACCCUAUAGAAUUUGCCUUUAAGCUUGGGCGGCACCUUCUUAUCACACAGCACCCCCGAUGCGAGUUUCCACUUCAUCCAUCCCGCCCCAAUACGGUGCGAGACAUCCUCGUCAAUCAUUAGCUACAUUCAAUUACAAUGUAGGAUCGAAAUUAUUGUUUCCUUAAAUUUGCUGAAGCAACUGAUGGCGAGCAGCACUUCUGAGCAACUCAAAAUGUAUUAGAGCAAAAUACUACUUUUUUUUUUCACAAAUUACCUUUUAUAAUGAUGGAUCCCCAGAAGGCUAAA